UUAAGCUACUAAGAGCAUAGGGAGAAUGCCUAGGUACCAAAAGCCGAAGAAAGACGUGAUAAGCUGCGAAAAGCCACGGGGAGAAGCAAAUAUUCAAUAUAUCCGUGGAUUUCUGAAUGAGGAAACUCAACUGACAGGAACAGGUCAGUUAUCUAUACAUGAGUAAAGUAGUGUAUAGAGGGGAACGUGGGGAACUGAAACAUCUAAGUACCCACAGGAAAAUAAAGAAAACUCGAUUCCUAGAGUAGUGGCGAGCGAAAUAGGAAGAGCCCAAACCGGAAGAAGAAAUUCAUCCGGGGUUCGGACUACAUAAUUGAUUCAAGAAGGUUAGUAAAAUUGUUUGGGAAAGCAAACCAGAGACGGUGAAAGUCCAGUAUACGAAAACUGAAUUGACAAGGUAGUAUCCAGAGUAGUGCGAGACACGUGAAAUCUCGUAUGAAAGAGCGGGGACCACCCCGUAAGGCUAAAUACUAAUUGGUAACCGAUAGUGAAGAAGUACCGUGAGGGAAAGUUGAAAAGAACCCCGGGAGGGGAGUGAAAUAGAACCUGAAACCCUAUGUUUACAAGCAGACAAAGCACGUUAAGGUGCGAUGUCGUACUUUUUGUAGAACGGUCCGGCGAGUUAUUUUAUAUGGCAAGGUUAAGUACUGAAGGUACGAAGCCGAAGAGAAAUCGAGUCUGAAGAGGGCGAAGAAGUCAUAUGAAAUAGACCCGAAACCGAGUGACCUAUCCAUGUCCAGGUUGAAGCUUGAGUAAAAUCAAGUGGAGGACCGAACCGAUAAGCGUUAAAAAGCUUCCGGAUGAGGUGUGGAUAGAGGAGAAAUUCCAAUCGAACUCGGAGAUAGCUGGUUCUCCUCGAAAUAGUUUUAGGACUAGCCUUGUUUUAUUAGCACAUGGGGGUAGAGCACUGAAUGAGGUAGGGGCCAACAAGGUUACUGAACUCUAUCAAACUACGAAUACCGUGUGUGGAAGAACAGGAGUCAGACUGCGGGAGCUAAGUUCCGUGGUCAAAAGGGAAAGAGCCCAGAUCGUCAAUUAAGGUCCCAAAGAUAUAGUUAAGUGGAAAACGAUGUGAUUUUGCGUAAACAACCAGGAUGUUGGCUUAGAAGCAGCCAUUCAUUCAAAGAGUGCGUAAUAGCUCACUGGUCGAGUGAAGUUGCGCGGAAAAUUACCGGGGCUAAACUAUACACCGAAAUUGCGGAUUUGUACGUAAGUACAAGUGGUAGAGGAGCAUUCUAUAGUAGGACGAAGCAUAAUCGAAAGGAUAUGUGGACGAGAUAGAAGAGAGAAUGCCGGAAUAAGUAGCGAAAGCAUGGUGAGAAUCCAUGCCAUCGAAAGUCUAAGGUUUCCUGGGGAAGGUUCGUCCGCCCAGGGUAAGUCGGGACCUAAGGAGAGGCCGAAAAGCGUAUCCGAUGGACAGCAGGUAGAAAUUCCUGCACUGCGAAAUACUUAAAAGAUGCAAAUGACACAAGAGUGGAAGAUGAGCGAGGAAGAGGAAAAACUCGUAUCGAAAGAUAUAGUGAAACAAUAGUAACGAAUCAUCAAGAAGCUAAUGGCGAGAAAAGUUUGUAGAUAUUGUAUUUAGUACCCGUACCGCAAACCGACACAGGUAGAUGAGGAGAGGAUCCUAAGAUGAGCGAGAGAAGCAUUGUUAAGGAACUCGGCAAACUGACCCCGUAACUUCGGAAUAAGGGGUGCUGGUGUAAAAGCCAGUCGCAGAGAAUAGUCCCAAGCAACUGUUUAACAAAAACACAGGUUUCUGCUAAAUCGAAAGAUGAAGUAUAGGAGCUGACACCUGCCCAGUGCUGGAAGGUUAAGGGAAAGAGUUAGACGCAAGUCGAAGCUUAGAACUAAAGCCCCAGUGAACGGCGGCCGUAACUAUAACGGUCCUAAGGUAGCGAAAUUCCUUGUCAGGUAAGUUCUGACCCG
rnacentral:rRNA from 1 species